rnacentral:rRNA from 1 species
ACUGGAGUUGUAGCUGGCCCUUAAAAACGGCAUGUGCACGCUCCUUUCACUAAUCCACACACACCUGUGCACCUUCGCGGGGGUCUUCUUUUCGGAGAAGGCUCGCGUCCCUUUACACACCCUUUGUAUGUCUUAAGAAUGUCUACUCGAUGUAAUAAAACGCAUCUAAUACAACUUUCAACAACGGAUCUCUUGGCUCUCGCAUCGAUGAAGAACGCAGCGAAAUGCGAUAAGUAAUGUGAAUUGCAGAAUUCAGUGAAUCAUCGAAUCUUUGAACGCACCUUGCGCCCUUUGGUAUUCCGAAGGGCACACCUGUUUGAGUGUCGUGAAAUUCUCAACCCUCUUCAUUUUUUUUUGAAUGAAGCAGUGGCUUGGACUUGGAGGUUUUUUGCCGGGCCUCACCGCUCGGCUCCUCUCAAAUGCAUUAGUGCGUCUUGUUGCGACGUGCGCCUCGGUGUGAUAAUUAUCUACGCUGUGGUGCGCUUGCUUCUGUGGAGACGCGCUUUCUAACCGUCCGAAAGGACAGCUUUCAUCGAACUUUGACCUCAAAUCAGGUGGGACUACCCGCUGAACUUAAGCAUAUCAAUAAGCGGAGGAAAAGAAACUAACAAGGAUUCCCCUAGUAACUGCGAGUGAAGCGGGAAAAGCUCAAAUUUAAAAUCUGGCGGUCUUCUGGCCGUCCGAGUUGUAGUCUGGAGAAGCGUUUUCCGCGUUGGACCGUGUACAAGUUUCCUGGAACGGAGCGUCAUAGAGGGUGAGAAUCCCGUCUUUGACACGGAUCCCAAUGCUUUGUGAUGCGCUCUCAAAGAGUCGAGUUGUUUGGGAAUGCAGCUCAAAA